rnacentral:rRNA from 1 species
AUUGAACGCUGGCGGCAGGCCUAACACAUGCAAGUCGAGCGGCAGCGGGAAAGUAGCUUGCUACUUUUGCCGGCGAGCGGCGGACGGGUGAGUAAUGCCUGGGGAUCUGCCCAGUCGAGGGGGAUAACAGUUGGAAACGACUGCUAAUACCGCAUACGCCCUACGGGGGAAAGCAGGGGACCUUCGGGCCUUGCGCGAUUGGAUAAACCCAGGUGGGAUUAGCUAGUUGGUGAGGUAAUGGCUCACCAAGGCGACGAUCCCUAGCUGGUCUGAGAGGAUGAUCAGCCACACUGGAACUGAGACACGGUCCAGACUCCUACGGGAGGCAGCAGUGGGGAAUAUUGCACAAUGGGGGAAACCCUGAUGCAGCCAUGCCGCGUGUGUGAAGAAGGCCUUCGGGUUGUAAAGCACUUUCAGCGAGGAGGAAA